GAUACAAGAAGUCGAGAAGUCACCCUUCUCUCUGUUUCUAAAUUACAAAGUACCUUGCCUGGAUCUGGAGGUGCAGUUACGGCAAACUCAACAUAGUCAAGGACAGGAAAGAACCAUGGAAAGAAGAAGGGGUUUAGGUGAUAAGCACAUUGACAGGAUCGACGAUCGACAACCCGAUCUAUCUCACUGAUGUUGAAGGUAGAGGCCCAGAGGUUAAGAUUAUGUGCAGUGAACCAUGCCUUUGUGGGAGGACCAAGACAAGAGGACCGCAUGUCGAGUAUCUGCCCUAAAAGUGUGGAGUGCAUCUGCCGUAAACAGCUACAUUGGUCUCCACCCAG